rnacentral:rRNA from 1 species
UACGAAGGGGGCUAGCGUUGCUCGGAAUCACUGGGCGUAAAGGGUGCGUAGGCGGGUUUUUAAGUCAGAGGUGAAAUCCUGGAGCUCAACUCCAGAACUGCCUUUGAUACUGGGAAUCUUGAGUAUGGAAGAGGUGAGUGGAACUGCGAGUGUAGAGGUGAAAUUCGUAGAUAUUCGCAGGAACACCAGUGGCGAAGGCGGCUCACUGGUCCGAUACUGACGCUGAGGUGCGAAAGCGUGGGGAGCAAACAGG